AGGUCAAUAGCGGUGCGAAUGAGGACAUGCAAGAUAUAUGCAUUGGAAGCCAGGAAGCUCUAUUCAUGGAGCCGAACUUCUCUUAUGUGGCGCUGUUGAAGGGUUAUAUUGACAUAAAUGGAGGCUAUGAGACAAUCAAUACCCAGGGGCGGGAGUCGUGCUCGAACGAUACUGACAAUGGUCAAACAAAUGAUGGGGGUGCACCUCUGCUACAAUUACACCAAACAAAGACUGGGGGCAUCAACGAGAACAACAAAACAAGCCAUGAGGUAAGCGUGUUGAAAAUCAAUAAAACAAAUGGGGGAAUAGAAAAAAAUGUAAAACUUAUAACAAAUGAGGAAAAAUAGCAAAAAAGGAUGUGCGGAUAGAAUUAAAAUGUUUCCUUUUAUUCAGGAUUUAUGCAUGUUGGGUGACUUUGUUGAAGACCAAGACAA